UACGUAGGAUGCAAGCGUUGUCCGGAUUUACUGGGCGUAAAGCGCGCGCAGGCGGCACAUUAAGUAAGGUGUGAAAUAUCCCGGCUCAACCGGGAGGGUGCACUUUAGACUGAUGAGCUUGAGGUCGGUAGAGGGGGGUGGAAUUGCUGGUGUAGCGGUGAAAUGCGCAGAUAUCAGGAGGAACACCGGUGGCGAAGGCGGGACUCUGGGCCGAUACUGACGCUGAGGAGCGAAAGCGUGGGGAGCGAACAGG
rnacentral:rRNA from 1 species